rnacentral:misc_RNA from 1 species
GAUGAAGAACGCAGCGAAAUGCGAUAAGUAAUGUGAAUUGCAGAAUUCAGUGAAUCAUCGAAUCUUUGAACGCACAUUGCGCCCGCCAGUAUUCUGGCGGGCAUGCCUGUUCGAGCGUCAUUACAACCCUCAGGCCCCCGGGCCUGGCGUUGGGGAUCGGCGGAAGCCCCCUGCGGGCACAACGCCGUCCCCCAAAUACAGUGGCGGUCCCGCCGCAGCUUCCAUUGCGUAGUAGCUAACACCUCGCAACUGGAGAGCGGCGCGGCCACGCCGUAAAACACCCAACUUCUGAAUGUUGACUUCGAAUCAGGUAGGAAUACCCGCUGAACUUAAGCAUAUCAAUAAGCGGAGGA